GACAGAGGGUGCAAACGUUGUUCGGAAUUACUGGGCGUAAAGCGCGUGUAGGCGGUUCGGUAAGUCGGAUGUGAAAGCCCGGGGCUCAACCUCGGAAGUGCAUUCGAUACUACCGUACUAGAGUACUGGAGAGGAUGGUGGAACUCUCGGUGUAGAGGUGAAAUUCGUAGAUAUCGAGAAGAACACCGGUGGCGAAGGCGGCCAUCUGGACAGAUACUGACGCUGAGACGCGAAAGCGUGGGGAGCAAAC
rnacentral:rRNA from 1 species